GCCCCUGUAGCUCAGAUGGAUAGAGCAGCGGUUUCCUAAACCGCAGGCCUGGGUUCGAGUCCCGGCAGGGGUACCA
rnacentral:tRNA from 1 species